rnacentral:lncRNA from 1 species
ACAAUUUCAUUAUUCAAGAGUGAGUUUUGAAAUAAUUUUCUUAUUGGUUCCCACUUUAUCCAGUCCGAGAGGAACCUUGAAGUGCUCAAAGACCUUGGUGAGAAGGAACCCAUAUGUUAGCCCAUGAUUACCGUCUUUAAAUUCGGACACUUUAUUCAUGUGUUCUAUUACGAUCCCAGGCAUAUUGAUAGUAGUGAAGUUGUCCAGUGCUUUUAUGAGGAACAAGUCUGCACGAGAAGUGAUAGAUCUUCUCUCAGCUCGACACAACAAUACUUUGUUCACCAUCUCAAAUAGAAGUUGGUACACAUGAAGGAGGGCCUUCUUCUGAACCAGUUCCCCCUACUGAAUUGCUCUGUCCUUUAAGAUUAUGUUUAUGAAGUUUUGAGUACAAGCUCCCCGAACACUAGACAACCCUUCAGUAGGCACACCAAGAAUAGAUUCCAACAAGGCAGAGUCCAUUACCAUAUCAACUCCAUUCACCAAGGCACAAACGUGAUCAUCCUCAACCUUGAACAAGUCAGCAAAAAGACUUUAAACUUUCUCCUCAUAUACCUUAUCAACAUCACUUGUGAACAAGUGUGUCCAUUGUUGGACUCACAAAUCUGAACCAACUACCUCAUACCAGC